rnacentral:hammerhead_ribozyme from 1 species
AUCGAGCUGACGAGUCCCAAAUAGGACGAAACGCGCGUUCUGGAU